CUACGGGGCGCUGCAGUGAGGAAUAUUGCACAAUGGGGGAAACCCUGAUGCAGCAACGCCGCGUGGAGGAUGACGCAUUUCGGUGUGUAAACUCCUUUUAUGAGUCAAGAAAAUGACGGUAGCUCAUGAAUAAGCACCGGCUAACUCCGUGCCAGCAGCCGCGGUAAUACGGAGGGUGCGAGCGUUACUCGGAAUCACUGGGCGUAAAGGAGGCGUAGGCGGGCUUGUAAGUCAGGUGUGAAAUCCUACAGCUUAACUGUAGAACUGCACUUGAAACUACGAGCCUAGAGUAUGGGAGGGGCAGAUGGAAUUAGUGGUGUAGGGGUAAAAUCCGUAGAUAUCACUAGGAAUACCGAAAGCGAAGGCGAUCUGCUGGAACAUUACUGACGCUAAGGCGUGAAAGCGUGGGGAGCAAACGGGAUUAGAUACCCUCGUAGUC
rnacentral:rRNA from 1 species